ACAAGUCAACCAUAUUGCUCGUUGUUUCUCGACAAAUGCGGUAUCCAAGCAAAUCCCGCUACCAAAAAAUGCAGAAAAAAUUUACGUCUCAGAAUCUCUUGGGCUAGUGGGCUAGCCUAAAGAGGCCUGAGCCCUUGGGGUUCUCGAAUGUGCAUUGCACGUGAGGGACGGGGAGGAAGACUCCAGUUAGGAGCCUUCUUCCUCCCUGAUCGUGCCAAAAUUCGGGAGUCCUAGGGUGAUCCAAAGAUGGGCAAAAACUGAGGAAACUAUCUAUAAAUAAGCAUUGAUCCCCUCCUACAAACUCCACCAACGAAAAUAGCGAGAAUCACUGGCGAUUUCAUAGCCUCGGUCUCCAAGUUUCUUCCUUCGAUGUUCGCCGGAAAGGAUCGUCGGACUGAGGGAACAAUCUCCGGGGACAGAGGAACAUUGAGCAAGGUUCUUGAUGCCGCAGUUAUUACGGUUCCUAAAUCAGAGACACAUGGCAUGUAGUCACAAUGAGUGGAAUGUAGAGUUCAAGAUUCAGAGUUAUUAAUUAGUUAGUUAUUUCUGAUACUGACAAAAAUCUAAAAUUUUGUAAUUGAGCAAGCUGGUUAUUUAUUUAUAGCAGUUUUAUUGGAUUAAAUUGACUAUUAAUUA